rnacentral:rRNA from 1 species
GACAAACGCUGGCGGCGUACCUAAGACAUGCAAGUCGAACGGGGGGUCAUCCUGCGGGAUGGUCUCGAGUGGCGAACGGGUGAGUAACACGUAGGAACCUGCCACCCAGUGGGGGAUAACGCGGGGAAACCGGCGCUAAUACCGCAUGGGGUUCCUCGGAUGAGGAAGCAAAGCUCCCCUGUGGGGGGGCGCUGGGUGAGGGGCCUGCGGCCGAUUAGCUGGUUGGUGGGGUAAGGGCCUACCAAGGCGACGAUCGGUAGCUGGUCUGAGAGGAUGG